AAUCUCAGAAAAACAAAGAAAAUAUAUAUAUAUAUGUAUUUUUUUUAGUGUAAGUAUGUACCAUGCAAUAUUUGAGACAUACUUAUACUAAAAAAUUAUUUGUUGUUUAUCUGAAAUACAAAUUUAACUGGAUGUCCUGUAUUUU
rnacentral:miRNA from 1 species